GUGGGGAAUAUUGGACAAUGGGCGCAAGCCUGAUCCAGCCAUGCCGCGUGCAGGAUGAAGGCCUUCGGGUUGUAAACUGCUUUUGUACGGAACGAAAAGACUUCUUCUAAUACAGGAGGUCCAUGACGGUACCGUAAGAAUAAGCACCGGCUAACUACGUGCCAGCAGCCGCGGUAAUACGUAGGGUGCAAGCGUUAAUCGGAAUUACUGGGCGUAAAGCGUGCGCAGGCGGUUAUAUAAGACAGAUGUGAAAUCCCCGGGCUCAACCUGGGAACUGCAUUUGUGACUGUAUAGCUAGAGUACGGUAGAGGGGGAUGGAAUUCCGCGUGUAGCAGUGAAAUGCGUAGAUAUGCGGAGGAACACCGAUGGCGAAGGCAAUCCCCUGGACCUGUACUGACGCUCAUGCACGAAAGCGUGGGGAGCAAACAGGAUUAGAUACCCGGGUAGUCC
rnacentral:rRNA from 1 species